rnacentral:rRNA from 1 species
GACGAACGCUGGCGGCGUGCUUAACACAUGCAAGUCGAACGGAAAGGCCCUGCUUUUGUGGGGUGCUCGAGUGGCGAACGGGUGAGUAACACGUGAGUAACCUACCCUUGACUUUGGGAUAACUUCAGGAAACUGGGGCUAAUACCGGAUAGGAGCUCCUGCUGCAUGGUGGGGGUUGGAAAGUUUCGGCGGUUGGGGAUGGACUCGCGGCUUAUCAGCUUGUUGGUGGGGUAGUGGCUUACCAAGGCUUUGACGGGUAGCCGGCCUGAGAGGGUGACCGGCCACAUUGGGACUGAGAUACGGCCCAGACUCCUACGGGAGGCAGCAGUGGGGAAUAUUGCACAAUGGGCGGAAGCCUGAUGCAGCAACGCCGCGUGCGGGAUGACGGCCUUCGGGUUGUAAACCGCUUUCGCCUGUGACGAAGCGUGAGUGACGGUAAUGGGCAAAGAAGCACCGGCUAACUACGUG